rnacentral:rRNA from 1 species
GACAGAGGAUGCAAGCGUUAUCCGGAAUGAUUGGGCGUAAAGCGUCUGUAGGUGGCUUUUUAAGUCCGCCGUCAAAUCCCAGGGCUCAACCCUGGACAGGCGGUGGAAACUACCAAGCUGGAGUACGGUAGGGGCAGAGGGAAUUUCCGGUGGAGCGGGUGAAAUGCGUAGAGAUCGGAAAGAACACCAGUGGCGAAGGCGGCCGGCUGGGGGCGCCCUGACGCUGAGGCGCGAGAGCGUGGGGAGCAAACCGG